UUGAGCGUCUUGGGCGACAAUCGCGCGCUGCUCGAUGGUGCGCGGUUAGCGGCUCAUCCAGACGCGGGACCUGCACAGAAGAUGGUACGAGCGGCGAUCCACAUGGCACACACGCCUGCAACCCGCGUACAUAUGUGGGGCAUCGUUGUUGUCGGUAUGCUGAACGCGUGAUCCAUGCGUCCACGAGCUUGAGGCCAUGCUUUUAGGGGAAGCGAAAUAUAUUCAGAAAUGAGUUAGAGAAGCGUUCGUCCGCGUAUCCGGGACUAUCGAUUCUGAAAGCUACGCGCUUUCCUGCACGCCGGUGUGUCUGCUGGGACCCGUCCGAGGCGUUCACAACACGGUACUCCACCGCGAGACGUCUGCGGAGACUGUCUCUUCACGGGAUCGAGGCGCGUUCCAUCAGUGCCAGAAGCGUUCUACGGCGACACAGAAGAUUUGUGAACUCCUCGGGUGUCCGUUCGAGACGUUAGUGACCUGCGCUGGAACCAGGGGCUUGUUGCCGGUCUUGAAUAGACCCGCAGCGCAGACAAGGCCACUAACACCACGGAUGACGCGCUGGCGGAACGUGGCGACGAAGGCAAUCUCUGAGCACUUGCCGCAGCAGCGUGAUGCGCCCCAGUGCGACUGAACUGCAACGAAGCCAUGCUUACUGUAGACGAGCCCGAAGGAACGACGGAAGGAGCCCGUUCGGCUCCUUCCUUAAUUCAGCGUUCUGGAACAGGAACAGGAACGUGUCCGUAAACGAGGCGGAGCAUGUCGCCUGGCAAUCAGCAAGCUCCGCCCACCCGGUGGAUCCUCGCGCGCCACUCUUGAGCGAAUCGCGAUUGGCACAGGCCCCACAACACCCACGUGCAUGGAAGAAACACAAUUCUUGAAUCUGGUGCCAAAUUGCUGAACAUGCGAACAAAAGACUCGAGACUUUGAUGCCAUAGCAUGCCAAGCGCUCUUUCGCCACCGCAAACCUCCAUGGCAUAGUUGGUAUCCACAAGGUCGCCAGAUCAACGUUACCGCUGUGUCUAACUCGGACACGCUUCCGAAGCAUUUGGAGUGUUUUACCGUUCAUAGAGAAGCUGUGCUGUCUCUCAUGGUCGCCAGCCUGCCGCAUCUGCGCACACGAUAGGGAACGUGAUUCAAUGAACUGAUCGCCGCACUGGCAGCACCCCAGGCGUGGUAGCGAACCGGCAAGGCAGGCUAGGCACCGAGAGGCUCGUACACUCGCACCGUGAUUCCCAAAAGACGCGUACAGAUGCUCUUGAUCCAUCGACUCUGAAUCCACCGUGUCGCAGUUCAACGCUUUCCGGGAUAUCGAGCAGUAUCGUAUACGCCUUUAUGGAGGCGUGUAGGAUCUUUUAUAGGAUGCUAGAAUCACCGUGAUUCCCAAAGACGCGUACAGAUGCUCUUGAUCCAUCGACUCUGAAUCCACCGUGUCGCAGUUCAACGCUUUCCGGGAUAUCGAGCAGUAUCGUAUACGCCUUUAUGGAGGCGUGUAGGAUCUUUUAUAGGAUGCUAGAAUCACCGUGAUUCCCAAAGACGCGUACAGAUGCUCUUGAUCCAUCGACUCUGAAUCCACCGUGUCGCAGUUCAACGCUUUCCGGGAUAUCGAGCAGUAUCGUAUACGCCUUUAUGGAGGCGUGUAGGAUCUUCUAAACAACCCUUCAGUACCACC
rnacentral:misc_RNA from 1 species